ACGGAAAGACCCCGUGAACCUUUACUAUAGCUUGACACUGAACAUUGAGCCUUGAUGUGUAGGAUAGGUGGGAGGCUUUGAAGUGUGGACGCCAGUCUGCAUGGAGCCGACCUUGAAAUACCACCCUUUAAUGUUUGAUGUUCUAACGUGGACCCGUUACCCGGGUUGCGGACAGUGUCUGGUGGGUAGUUUGACUGGGGCGGUCUCCUCCUAAAGAGUAACGGAGGAGCACGAAGGUUGGCUAAUCCUGGUCGGACAUCAGGAGGUUAGUGCAAUGGCAUAAGCCAGCUUGACUGCGAGCGUGACGGCGCGAGCAGGUGCGAAAGCAGGUCAUAGUGAUCCGGUGGUUCUGAAUGGAAGGGCCAUCGCUCAACGGAUAAAAGGUACUCCGGGGAUAACAGGCUGAUACCGCCCAAGAGUUCAUAUCGACGGCGGUGUUUGGCACCUCGAUGUCGGCUCAUCACAUCCUGGGGCUGAAGUAGGUCCCAAGGGUAUGGCUGUUCGCCAUUUAAAGUGGUACGCGAGCUGGGUUUAGAACGUCGUGAGACAGUUCGGUCCCUAUCUGCCGUGGGCGCUGGAGAACUGAGGGGGGCUGCUCCUAGUACGAGAGGACCGGAGUGGACGCAUCACUGGUGUUCGGGUUGUCAUGCCAAUGGCACUGCCCGGUAGCUAAAUGCGGAAGAGAUAAGUGCUGAAAGCAUCUAAGCACGAAACUUGCCCCGAG
rnacentral:rRNA from 1 species